AACAGGGAUUGCCCUAGUAACGGCGAGUGAAGCGGCAACAGCUCAAAUUUGAAAUCUGGCUCUUUCAGAGUCCGAGUUGUAAUUUGCAGAGGGCGCUUUGGCUUUGGCAGCGGUCCAAGUUCCUUGGAACAGGACGUCACAGAGGGUGAGAAUCCCGUACGUGGUCGCUAGCUAUUGCCGUGUAAAGCCCCUUCGACGAGUCGAGUUGUUUGGGAAUGCAGCUCUAAAUGGGAGGUAAAUUUCUUCUAAAGCUAAAUAUUGGCCAGAGACCGAUAGCGCACAAGUAGAGUGAUCGAAAGAUGAAAAGCACUUUGGAAAGAGAGUCAAACAGCACGUGAAAUUGUUGAAAGGGAAGCGCUUGCAGCCAGACUUGCUUGCAGUUGCUCAUCCGGGCUUUUGCCCGGUGCACUCUUCUGCAGGCAGGCCAGCAUCAGUUUGGGCGGUGGGAUAAAGGUCUCUGUCAUGUACCUCUCUUCGGGGAGGCCUUAUAGGGGAGGCGACAUACCACCAGCCUAGACUGAGGUCCGCGCAUCUGCUAGGAUGCUGGCGUAAUGGCUGUAAGCGGCCCGUCUUGAAACACGGACCAAGGAGUCUAACAUCUAUGCGAGUGUUUGGGUGUCAAGCCCGAGCGCGUAAUGAAAGUGAACGGAGGUGGGAACCCGCAAGGGUGCACCAUCGACCGAUCCUGAAGUUUACGGAAGGAUUUGAGUAAGAGCAUGGCUGUUGGGACCCGAAAGAUGGUGAACUAUGCUUGAAUAGGGUGAAGCCAGAGGAAACUCUGGUGGAGGCUCGCAGCGGUUCUGACGUGCAAAUCGAUCGUCAAAUUUGGGCAUAGGGGCGAAAGACUAAU
rnacentral:rRNA from 1 species